UUCUGAAAAGCCGGGGUCAGGCCUGGUGACCCCUGAGAAAGACGUUCUUCCACCAAUCCUUUAGCAUUCCGGGGAGUGUCGUGAGAGUGCCAGUACAGUUCCCCUCUCUCCGGUCACCCUAGGCCCCAGCUGUUUCUAGAGUCCUAGGAAUCAGGAGAAAAAUGUUCCUGUACACGCACCCGGAGGCUUUUGCAGGAGGCGGCUGUUGGAGAACCGGGAAAACAAGCCAAGAAACAAGAGAGAGGAAGAAGACCACGCCUCGCCUGGCAGAUUCCUAAUGGCCCAGGAGACCUGGGGCUUUACUGUGGGAGGCGGUGGGGGUGGUAAGGGGGGU